AACAGGAUUAGAUACCCUGGUAGUCCACGCCGUAAACGAUGUCGAUUUGGAGGUUGUGCCCUUGAGGCGUGGCUUCCGGAGCUAACGCGUUAAAUCGACCGCCUGGGGAGUACGGCCGCAAGGUUAAAACUCAAAUGAAUUGACGGGGGCCCGCACAAGCGGUGGAGCAUGUGGUUUAAUUCGAUGCAAACGCGAAGAACCUUACCUGGUCUUGACAUCCACAGAACUUUCCAGAGAUGGAUUGGUGCCUUCGGGAACUGUGAGACAGGUGCUGCAUGGCUGUCGUC
rnacentral:rRNA from 1 species